AGUUGCUUGCUCUUAACACUGUUUUUGCUUAAAACAAAGCCAAGUGCUGCUGUUUUUUGUUUUGAUUUUCAACACACUUUUUUCUAGUCCAAACGCAACCUAAAGCCACAACAGCAAGUACUUGCAAAAAAUAAAAACGAAAAAUAGACGGUGUGGUUCAUGUCCUGCCAAGAGUUGCUUUGUUAUCAAUACCUGAUUUGCUUACAAAAUCCACUACAGUUGCUCACAUUUUGGUUUUGUCGUUUCUUUUUCGCAACAGGCCUGAUACAAAAAACAAUACUAGCUGCACAUGGAUCUGGGGAAAACAAGGGAGAAGACUUGGAAGAAGGUGCAAUCAGAUGGUGAAAAAACAAGCCGUUGCAGGGUCCUUCCGAUUGUGGAGGAGGAAAUGAUCCACUAUUUGCAUGGGGGAGAAGAAGAAGAAGGGCAUGAGGGUUCUUAGUGCCUUGUCAUGCCAUCAGAGGAGAUGGGGCGAGAUGGAGCUUUCAUCUGGAUUGAGAUCCGGGAGGAAGAAGACCAGGGAGAUGUCAGAGCCAUGUGUUGGGUUGGGGGGAAAGAUAGUGUGUGGGACUUUUAUACGCCCCUGUUUGGAAUGGGAGACCUCUCUUUUUUUUGUGCAUCACACGGCCAACUGUUGUGGUUUUCCUUUUUGGUUCCUCUUUGAGAAAGUUUUCCUUAAAUGGGGUGUGUGCCAGGAAACGCUAGGGAGCACAUGGGUGCUCCCUAGUCACGUCCAUAAUAAAAUGUCAGGAGAAAAAAGCAGGCCUACAUUGGCCACCUUCCUGAUUUAUGUAUU